rnacentral:rRNA from 1 species
AACGAACGCUGGCGGCAGGCCUAACACAUGCAAGUCGAGCGAGCAUUUCGGUGCUAGCGGCGGACGGGUGAGUAACGCGUGGGAACGUGCCCUUUUCUGCGGAAUAGUCCUGGGAAACUGGGGGUAAUACCGCAUACGCCCUUUUGGGGAAAGAUUUAUCGGAGAAGGAUCGGCCCGCGUUGGAUUAGGUAGUUGGUGGGGUAAUGGCCCACCAAGCCGACGAUCCAUAGCUGGUUUGAGAGGAUGAUCAGCCACACUGGGACUGAGACACGGCCCAGACUCCUACGGGAGGCAGCAGUGGGGAGUCUUAGACAAUGGGGGCAACCCUGAUCUAGCCAUACCGCGUGAGUGAUGAAGGCCUUAGGGUUGUAAAGCUCUUUCAGCUGGGAAGAUAAUGACGGUACCAGCAGAAGAAGCCCCGGCUAACUCCGUG